rnacentral:rRNA from 1 species
GAGUUUGAUCGUGGCUCAGAACGAACGCUGGCGGCAUGCCUAACACAUGCAAGUCGAACGAGACCUUCGGGUCUAGUGGCGCACGGGUGCGUAACGCGUGGGAACCUGCCCUUAGGUUCGGAAUAACUCCCCGAAAGGGGUGCUAAUACCGGAUAAUGUCUUCGGACCAAAGAUUUAUCGCCUUUGGAUGGGCCCGCGUUGGAUUAGCUAGUUGGUGGGGUAAAGGCCUACCAAGGCGACGAUCCCAUAGCUGGUCUUAGAGGAUGAUCAGCCACACUGGGACUGAGACACGGCCCAGACUCCUACGGGAGGCAGCAGUGGGGAAUAUUGGACAAUGGGCGAAAGCCUGAUCCAGCAACUGCCGCGUGAGUGAUGAAGGCCCUAGGGUUGUAAAGCUCUUUUACCCGGGAUGAUAAUGACAGUACCGGGAGAAUAAGCUCCGG